AUUGAACGCUGGCGGCAGGCCUAACACAUGCAAGUCGAGCGGAUGAAGGGAGCUUGCUCCUGGAUUCAGCGGCGGACGGGUGAGUAAUGCCUAGGAAUCUGCCUGGUAGUGGGGGAUAACGUCCGGAAACGGGCGCUAAUACCGCAUACGUCCUGAUGGAGCAAGUGGGGGGUCUUCGGACCUCACGCUAUCAGGUGAGCCUAGGUCGGAUUAGCUAGUUGGUGGGGUAAGGGCCUACCAAGGCGACGAUCCGUAACUGGUCUGAGAGGAUGAUCAGUCACACUGGAACUGAGACACGGACCAGAAUACUACGGGAGGAAGCAGUGGGGAAUAUUGGACAAUGGGCGAAAGCCUGAUCCAGCAAUGCCGCGUGUGUGAAGAAGGUCUUCGGAUCGGAAAGCACUCUAAGUGGGGAGGAAGGGCAGUAAGUUAAUACCUAGCUGGUUUGACGGUACCAACAGAAUAAGCACCGGCUAACUUCGUG
rnacentral:rRNA from 1 species